rnacentral:rRNA from 1 species
GAUGAACGCUAGCGGCAGGCCUAACACAUGCAAGUCGAGGGGGAAGUUACUUUCGGGUGACUGAGACCGGCGUACGGGUGCGUAACGCGUAUACAAUCUGCCUUUCACUGGGGGAUAGCCCGAAGAAAUUUGGAUUAAUACCCCAUAGUAUAUAGGGACGGCAUCGUUUUUAUAUUAAAGCUUAGGUGGUGAAAGAUGAGUAUGCGUUCUAUUAGCUAGUUGGAGAGGUAACGGCUCCCCAAGGCGAUGAUAGAUAGGGGUUCUGAGAGGGAUGUCCCCCACACUGGUACUGAGAUACCGACCAGACUCCUAAGGGAGGCAGCAGUGAGGAAUAUUGGACAAUGGUCGGAAGACUGAUCCAGCCAUGCCGCGUGCAGGAUGAAGGUCUUAUGGAUUGUAAACUGCUUUUGUAAGGGAAGAAUAAGGGCUACGCGUAGUUUGAUGACGGUACCUUACGAAUAAGCAUCGGCUAACUCCGUG